UACGUAGGGGGCUAGCGUUGUCCGGAUUUAUUGGGCGUAAAGAGCGUGUAGGCGGCCAGGUAGGUCCGCUGUGAAAGUCCGAGGCUCAACCUCGGAAUGUCGGCGGAAACCCUCUGGCUAGAGUCCGGAAGAGGAGAGUGGAAUUCCCGGUGUAGCGGUGAAAUGCGCAGAUAUCGGGAAGAACACCGGUGGCGAAGGCGGGAUCCUGGGCCAGUACUGACGCUGAGGAGCGAAAGCGUGGGGAGCAAACAGG
rnacentral:rRNA from 1 species